CUCGACUUGGCGGCUUGGCAUCUCGGCUUAGACGAGUCGUUUUUUACCCUUCUGAAGCCAUUUCUGACUUUAUUUAACCCAUUUCAGGAAAUAGUUAGGCGUUGAAAUUAUACUAUCGAGGUGACUACCUUAUUGUAAGUGACUUUGGCCAAGGCCAACUAAGUAAGUGACCUUACUGUUGGCGUUAGCUUAUAUGAUGUAUGAUGGUGCAUGCACUAUAUUAUAUGUGAUAUAUUUGUUUAUGAUUAUGUGAUGUUUAUGUAUUUGAUAACUCUAAAAGUAGAGUAAUAUCAUGUCUUUUUGUAUUUAAUAUGGCACCCUUAUUCACCAUUUUCUCAUUUAU